rnacentral:snoRNA from 1 species
AGCACUAUUUUUAAACCUGUUGGUGGAAUUUCGUGCCACCAUGGGUUACGCUGUAGUGCAAAAGAACUUCCUGACUCUUUGGAGCGUUGCUGACCUUGCUCUGUUCAGCUGACGCUACUCGGAAGCAAAGGAACAGAA